rnacentral:rRNA from 1 species
UACGGAGGGGGCUAGCGUUGUUCGGAAUUACUGGGCGUAAAGCGCGCGUAGGCGGCUCUGCAAGUCGGGGGUGAAAUCCCGAGGCUCAACCUCGGAACUGCCUUCGAUACUGCGGGUCUCGAGUCCGGGAGAGGUGAGUGGAAUUCCUAGUGUAGAGGUGAAAUUCGUAGAUAUUAGGAAGAACACCAGUGGCGAAGGCGGCUCACUGGCCCGGUACUGACGCUGAUGCGCGAAAGCGUGGGGAGCAAACGGG